CUGACACAAGGCACAAUGAUGAUGUCACUGAUUCUACUGCUGUGGACACUGGGGCUCCUUGUUCAGGAAUCAUCAGGAGAUAUAAUUCUGACCCAUUCUCCUAAAUCUCAGUCUGUUAGUCCAGGAGAGAUUGUCUCUAUCAGCUGUACAGCCAGUUCAGAUAUUAGUAUUUAUCUCAACUGGUACCUGCAGAAACCUGGAGAAGCUCCUAAACUCCUGGUUUAUGAUGCUACAAACCGUCAGUCUGGGAUUCCAGGUCGUUUCAGUGGGAGUAGAUCUGGUAGUUCUUACACUCUGACCAUCAGUGGAGUCCUGGCUGAAGAUGCAGCAGAUUACUACUGUCAGCAGAGGAAAAGCUUUCCGUUCACACAGUGUUAG